rnacentral:pre_miRNA from 1 species
UGGGGGAGGCCGGAUCCUGGGCUGUGUCCCGGCGCCCAGUGCUCCGGGGCCUGCGCUGUUGGAUUCUGAGCUCCCGCACCUGCAGCCCCCU